GAUGAACGCUGGCGGCGUGCCUAAUACAUGCAAGUCGAGCGAACAGACGAGGAGCUUGCUCCUCUGACGUUAGCGGCGGACGGGUGAGUAACACGUGGAUAACCUACCUAUAAGACUGGGAUAACUUCGGGAAACCGGAGCUAAUACCGGAUAAUAUAUUGAACCGCAUGGUUCAAUAGUGAAAGACGGUUUUGCUGUCACUUAUAGAUGGAUCCGCGCCGCAUUAGCUAGAUGGUAAGGUAACGGCUUACCAAGGCAACGAUGCGUAGCCGACCUGAGAGGGUGAUCGGCCACACUGGAACUGAGACACGGUCCAGACUCCUACGGGAGGCAGCAGUAGGGAAUCUUCCGCAAAGGGCGAAAGCCUGACGGAGCAACGCCGCGUGAGUGAUGAAGGUCUUCGGAUCGUAAAACUCUGUUAUUAGGGAAGAACAAAUGUGUAAGUAACUAUGCACGUCUUGACGGUACCUAAUCAGAAAGCCACGGCUAACUACGUG
rnacentral:rRNA from 1 species